UAAUUAGUUGCUUAGCGCAAUGCGCAAAUAAAGAUUUCGUCGCAAUAGCCAAAAUGGAUACAGCUUAUUGUUACAUCUUAGAGUUGGUUCGACGCAUGUGGUGCGUGGAGCGUGGUCCAGCAAAAGUUUUAGUUUCAAUAGACUUUACCUGAAAGUUGAAACUAUACCAACGCUAAAAAACCACUCGUUACACCGCCAGUUCAAGAGUGUUUGUCUGGUGACAUUGUUUAGGGUUUCUCCAGCUCGAGCUGUCUUCCUAAUCAUUUUGUGUGCAGCGUCAUGCUUUUGCUUUCAUUAAUAAUUUGAUUUGAACACUCUGUUUGGUGUGGUUUGUGGGUGUGUGUGUUUUUACUUUUCAGUAUAGUGUGAGUACGAGUUGAGUAUGACUGUAACACAUUGCUGGGUAUUAUUUCAGGCAUUGGCAUGACAAAAAUGGACACAAAGCAUGACGCUGCCCACAAAGUGAUGCUUCAGAAAAGGAAGACAGCUCGAACUGGAGAAAUACUAAACAAUGUCACCAGACAAACUGGCAUCAAAAUGUCCACCAUCCUGUUAAAAUCAACCCAAAAAACUUGCCUUCAAUCUCAGAGCCUUAUUAAACAGCACUUACACUACCAUGUGGGACACAAUUGAGGCUGGAUGGGAAACAACCUUGUUAGGUGACAGCAUUUCGUCCAAGUUGCUGAAAGCUAAUGUUACAAUCUUUGGACAAUUUGAUGCUGCACGUAUCCAGCAAUUUGUGCCUACACAAGUUUCCAGUUUUAUUUUGUGAAAUUUUGUAUGGUGUGUUGUGUGCACAUGGGAAGUCCUAAUACAAUGUUUCAUUGGACCCAUUAAAUUAUUUGAAACCAAAUUAUUAAUGUGGCAGAAUGUCAAGUUGUAAAGUCAAGCUGCAGGCUCUUCUGAUCGAGGGCCCAUUCCCCGUAAAGUAACACUAGCUGGGGGUUUCACUGUGCCAAUUUUAUUGUUUCAGUGUGUAAACCCUAUUCCUUGCUUUCCUUGUCUAGGUUGCAAACACUCAGACCAAGAAUCCUGUGCUCCAGUACCCUUCAGUCUCCACUUUGAAUACCUAAGUGGAUUACACGUGGAAGUGGAAACCAUUAAGUGGAUAACAUCAAGAACGCGGCCAGUCUCGAUAUUUCGACAGACAAGGCCCAGGAUGGAAGCGAUGGGCGUUUUUUGAAGGUCCGCGAUGUUGGCGCAUUACAACCAAAUGUAAUUAGUUUUAAAUCGCGUAGAUUACGACUGUAAAUGUUGAUUAUUUUUAUUGUCUAAGUCACAUGGUUUUAAUCUCUCUGUCAAGCUGACGGUUGGUAAUAGAACCAGCUUGAAUAAUUCGAUGGACAAGGCCGGCAAUGGAAGCAGCAACUUCACCGUCCGCGCUAGCCUUCCGCCUUCCGUCGCCGCUCGAGAUGUCAAAGUUCAACUCAAGAGUCUGGAAGCAAAUGUCUCUGACGACAUGUCGACUGUUUACUCUACUGUCAACUCCACUUCCGAUUUGUCGAUGGAAAAUGCUUCCGCCAUGGAGGAACGUGGGAU